rnacentral:rRNA from 1 species
CUGGGGUGGAUUAGUGGCGAACGGGUGAGUAACACGUGAGUAACCUGCCCUCUUCUUUGGGAUAACGGUCGGAAACGGCUGCUAAUACUGGAUAUUCACUCAUUGGCGCAUGUUGGUGGGUGGAAAGGUUUUUCUGGUGGGGGAUGGGCUCGCGGCCUAUCAGCUUGUUGGUGGGGUGAUGGCCUACCAAGGCUUUGACGGGUAACCGGCCUGAGAGGGUGACCGGUCACAUUGGGACUGAGAUACGGCCCAGACUCCUACGGGAGGCAGCAGUA